rnacentral:rRNA from 1 species
GGCGCAAGCCUGAUGGAGCAACACCGCGUGAGUGAAGAAGGGUUUCGGCUCGUAAAGCUCUGUUGUUGGAGAAGAACGUGCGUGAGAGUAACUGUUCACGCAGUGACGGUAUCCAACCAGAAAGUCACGGCUAACUACGUGCC